UCACAUGCAUACGAGCCUGAUUAUGAUGCCAUCGAGCCCUGAUGGGAGCGCCGCAAGGGCAAAAUAAGGGCCAGGCAGGGGCCAGGCGGACCGCCACAACAGCCGUCAAACAGACCCACACACGUUACACAAUAGCAUAGCGUGAUAAACGACACGACUGGGAUCCCGGUUACAACUGAUUAUACCUCUAACAGCAUAAGUGCCCUAUUACAGGACGCGGCGAUGCGUUGAGUGUAGAGUAGAAUGGCGGUGCAGCGGCUGCAAGGGACGAGAGGAAGGGGUGUUAAUUUAGCUGGCUGGGGCUGAAGUUUGGGUGCUAUUAGAUGGAGUUGGUAAGUUUCACAGCUGAUCACGAUUGCGGUGGUUGGUGUGUUGAAGUGGUAACCAUGGUUGGCCAGGUUUCAGGCAGAGUCGUCCAUCCUUGAUUGGUCGGGGAGGACGAAUAGGCAGCCAUGUGCGCAAACCACAAAAUAUAAUGGUGCGGAGCUAAGGCCAGUCUGUGCGGUACAAAGGACGUGAUUGAAACAACCAGCUGUUCCAGGCCGCGCGGUACAGGUACACGCUGAUGCGUGACAUGUUCAGUCAGCAUGGAAGCUUCAGGGAACGGGCUAAGCUUAAAAUCCGGGUGGGAUACUUGGCGUUAUGAAUAUGGUGGUGUACAGGAAAUCCAAUGGGGAGCAACGAAAAGGAUGCCCGUAUCUCGCGCUAGGAUGGCGGUGGCUACUGUACGCACUUGCAGAGGGAAGCCAGCGGAACCAGGAUCUGUCUGAGGAGUUCAUUGGUCUUUGCCUGUUCUGAGCGAAUUUCCUCCAGCUCUUUGAGAACCUGCGGUGCUAGAGCGCCGCCAACUCCAGGCUCCGUUUUUUGACUUUGGCUGGCCAUGCUGACCGGAAACAUAUGAUCACAAGAUGCGUUCUUCUGCAUUAUUCAUCAUUUUUAACAUUGCACGAUAUCGUGCGUACUUUUAUAACAACAAGCGAGUAUCGCGCGAAGGCGUCUUAUUACAGCCAGUGGGUAAACGACCGCCCUGUACAGAUGUUGACUUCGCACUCUCUGCUAUAGCUUACUUGUAAAUAACAUAUCCAGGGUUCAGCUGGCUAUGAAGUUGAGGGAUUUAAGAUACUGUAUUCAUAUUAUUCGGUACAACUGUCGUCAAUCCGCUAUGGGCCUGCAGCGCCACUCUAAUUCUUACUCGUCAAUGACUAGGUCAUACGAGAUACUUUACAUUUUACAAUCAUUAGGGAGAUUCAUUAUGUAGGACUAGCACGAAAUGAAUCUUGGCUUCUUCUGCUUAGCUGUCCCUUUCCGGUGGCUUUGGUAAAUUCCUGUAAUUUCAGGCGUUACAUCCAGUACCUGUACUGUACCUGGCCUUGAAGUUACCUAGAAAUGCCUUUGUUAACCCAAC
rnacentral:lncRNA from 1 species